GCACCCAUCUCGAUCGCAGCGGAAAACCGUCCCCGCGAGGCAACGCUGACCCCCCUUCUCUGCCGCGACGCUCUGCCGACGAGUUAAACGACUCGCCAAGACGGUGCGGGCUGAUGGCAGGGGGCCGCUGCCACCGUAGUGAGAUCUGUUUGCUUGGACUUGAGCCUCUUGCCACACGCAGCCGCCGGCCAUGGCCGCCGCUCUCAUUCGAGCUCCCCCGCCUCAUCUCCCUAUCUCUUUCCUCACGCGCCGCCACCGGCCGCCUGCUGGUUGACCUGCGGCCCCUCCAGCGCCGCCUAAUCCCCCAUCCGACGGGCGCCUCUCUCCUCCAUCACGGUGGCAGCCUAGCGGCGCAACCGGCGCCUCCUCUCCUGCACGGCGGGCGGCCUAGCAGCGGCGGUUCGGGCGACUCGUAGGGCGGCGUGCUGACGUUUCCCGGAGGAGCUCCAUUGAGGCUUGGUGGGUUCGUUAUCAUCAGAGAAAUUGAGUAAUGUCGAAAGGCAAACGAUACAGCUAGAUAUGGUGCUCCGAAGCGGCUCAACGCAACUUGGCAUGUAUAUGUGCAUUCAGAACAUGAAGCAAAUACACGUGCGAUACAUGCGCUUCCGUGAAAUCAAAGCGUACACAACCACACAGUAACAAACACGACACUGCAUAAAAUACAUGGAUGUCACCGGCAGACAUCUUAUUUGUUCA